AUUUAUCCAUAAUACAUAUAUUUAUACACAUAUAAUUACAAUAGAUAAUAUAUUUGUCCGUGCCUAAUUUAAAUGGGACAUUGUUUUCCAAUUUUAUUCGUUUAUUUUGCCUAGGUGGCACCAACUCCAAAAAUUAUGUAUUAUACAUAUAUCAACUCCAAUGGUACCUACUUAAAUACUACAUAGAAACUUCAACACACAUACUAUACCGUUUUGUGUCGUUGGAAAUUACUAGCUGACCCGUUAAAUAUUAUAUAAUUUAUUUCUAGUGAAUAUUUUGGUUGUUAAAUAAAAAAUACGAAUGGUUUAUAAGUGCGUGAAGAUGUCUAAUUAACUGAGUUUUAUGGAACGUUGAUCAGAGAAAAAUUCACUAAUCUGUGAUCAAUUUGAUUAGACAUCAACAUUCUUUUUCGUUAGGGUCGCGCUUUUACCUUGUUGAGUUUAUCAUUAACUUCCUUAAAUUGAAAAAUGAUUUCAUAAGAAACAAGUAAGUACAUCUUGCGAAAAUAGUAAUAAUACCAACCCUGUAUUAUAUACAUGCUCACUGUUCAGUGCGGCCCUCUACUGAGGGUUUAGGCCUUAGUCCACCACGCUGGCCUAGUGCCGGUUAGUUACUUGACUUGCCUUCAAAAGUCUUUUUAGAAAAUUCUGUUUCCUUUCACCGUAAAACGAACGUUAAUUGAUUAACAGUAGACACAUAACAUUGAAAAGUCGGAGGUAUGCCGCCUUGAGUUUUGAACCUGCAGACAUUUUAUUCCCAACGAUGCUAUCGUGCAUAUAUUAACUAUCUACAUUAAAGAUAAUUUAUGUGGUGUGUAAUGUGUAUACUAACUACGAAAAUGUAAAUCAAGAAAAUAUGGAAAUUGGAAGUAAGUACAUAUCUAAUAUAUUUAAAUUUUAUCAUUUAAAUCUCAUGACAAAAUUGGCAUGUGGCAACACUACCAAAUACGUUUUGUUACGGGACUUGUAUUCAUAAACAAAAAUAAAAUAAGAUUCUCAUUACAAUUCUCUUUGUACAUAAUUUAACACUGCUGCUCAAAUUUGAAAGCUGGCUGUUGACUGGGUAGGUAGGUAGUACAGGCGUUAAUUUUUGGAAUUUAGUGUAAGUAAGUAUAUUUAUUUUUAGUACAUACCUACGUUAAUUUAUUUUGAUUCUUUAUUUUUUUUCCUUAUUUCAGACUAUAUGUAACAAAUAACAAUGUCAAGACCAAAUAGAAUCAAUAAGGGGAAUACAAAAAGUACAGUUAUUCAGGCCCACGGGGAUCGCGCAAAAGAAUUCAAUCGGCUCUAAAAAGACACUAUGGAGUAACUUCACGAGAUGCGGUAUGGCGCAUGAGACAAAAUAUGAGGUACUCAGACCCAGCAUUUUAAACAAGAAGAAAAAAAUAAAAUUGAAUUCCAGAAUCGGAUUAGAUAUUUCAUUUGUAAUGGAAUAAAAAAAUUAUGUCACAGUCCAAGUUUUCGCGAAAAGAAAAUUAUAUUAGAUAUUUACUUAACUCUAUAAUAUAAAAAUUCGCGCGCAUUUUAAAUUGCUAUAUUGUUACUUACCUAUUUAUUUACUAAUGUAAUCUGACAUAACUGUAAGUAAGUUUACCACCACAAGUUCAUGAUGAAACUGAUCAAUGGAGAUAUAUAUUGGAAGAUGAAACUUAUUUGUAUUUUUUUUUAUAAAUAAAGUUAAAUGAAAAGUCAUAUGUUUUGAAAUCAAGUAAAUACUUAGUCCAUCCAACUUGGUAAGUCCAUACCUACAAAGUUAUUUGACUACAAAA
rnacentral:lncRNA from 1 species